rnacentral:rRNA from 1 species
UACGAAGGGGGCGAGCGUUGUUCGGAAUUACUGGGCGUAAAGGGCGCGCAGGCGGCUCUGAAAGUCAGACGUGAAAGCCCCGGGCUUAACCUGGGAACUGCAUUCGAUACUCUAGAGCUUGAGUACGGGAGAGGAGAGUGGAAUUCCCAGUGUAGAGGUGAAAUUCGUAGAUAUUGGGAAGAACACCGGUGGCGAAGGCGGCUCUCUGGACCGUAACUGACGCUGAGGCGCGAAAGCGUGGGGAGCAAACAGG